AGUAAAGUCAGCUAAAUAAGCUCUUGGGCCCAUACCCCAAUAAUGAUGGUUAAAAUCCCUCCUUUACUA
rnacentral:tRNA from 2 species